GGGGAAUAUUGGACAAUGGGGGAAACCCUGAUCCAGCGACGCCGCGUGGGUGAAGAAGGCCUGCGGGUUGUAAAGCCCUUUCAGUGGGGAAGAAAAGCCUCGAGUUAACACCUCGGGGUCUUGACGUAACCCAUAGAAGAAGCACCGGCUAACUCUGUGCCAGCAGCCGCGGUAAUACAGAGGGUGCGAGCGUUAAUCGGAAUUACUGGGCGUAAAGCGCGCGUAGGCGGCUUUGCAAGUCGGGUGUGAAAUCCCCAGGCUUAACCUGGGAACUGCAUUCGAGACUGCAUUGCUAGAGUAUGGGAGAGGGAAGUGGAAUUUCCGGUGUAGCGGUGAAAUGCGUAGAUAUCGGAAGGAACACCAGUGGCGAAGGCGACUACCUGGCCUGUUCUUGACGCUGAGGCGCGAAAGCUAGGGGAGCAAA
rnacentral:rRNA from 1 species